GUGCUUGCUUUGGCAGCACAUAUACUAAAAUUGGAACGAUAGAGAAGAUUAGCUUGGCCUCUGUGCAAGGAUGGCAUGCAAAUUCAUGAAGUGUUCCAUAUUUAA